CCUUAAAUUUAGUUUUUGUUGCCUGAAGUUAGGUUAUUGGAAAAAUAUUCUAAGAGCAUAUAGAGCCUGAUACUUGCCUUAAUUAGGCAAGUUAUUUAAUAUUGCUAAAUUAUUUAAGAAUGUUCUUAAUUACAGCACUUGCUUCCCAUAAACUUUAACAACUAUUACUAAAAUGCUACAGUAGUGGAACCUCGAGUGACGAGCGGCUCUAUCCACGAGCAUUUCGAGUAACGAGCAAGCCACUCGCCGAAAUUUGUCUCGAUUGACGAGCUUUUUCUCCAUUAACGAGAAAAACACAUGGUGCUUCCUAGCAUUCUCGCGGGUUCUCGCAAAUUCUCGGACGCCUCCGACGACAGUGUUGUUGUAUCGCGCAGGACAAGCAUCCCUCUGCAUAUAUUUGUGUUUUUCUUUGUUUUUUGUGGUUUUGUGACUACAGUUUGUAACGCACGAUGUCGCCAAAGAAGCUACUUGAUAAAUAUAGCGUUGUCAAGAGGAAGGACACAAUUACUGUGGAUUUGAAGAAGGAAAUCAUAGAAAAGCAUGUGACUAAUCUCACCAGGGAGUAUGGCCGGUCCUCGUCAACAGUUUGCACCAUCUUGAAGAGGAAGGAAGAAUUUAAGAAGCCUGAAGUGGCUCAAGGCAUUACCAAAGUUACCAAGAAACGUCCAAAAAUCCUAGAUGUUGAAAAGCUACUGUUGAUCUGGAUGAAUGAAAGGCAAUUACAUGGCGAUAGUGUGUCUGAAGCUAUUGUUUGUGCUAAGGCAAAGUUGCUGUAUGUCAACCUAGCUUGUCAGGAAUACACCAGGCGCGUCGUCUGAAGAUGAGGAGAUAUUUAAGGCAAGCCGUGGAUGGUUUGAGAAGUUUAGGAAGAGAAACGGUAUACACAGUGUUGUGCGACAUGGGGAGGCUGCCAGCUCUGAUAAAGUUGCUGCCGAGAAAUUUGUGCCAGUGUUUCAGGAAUUUGUUGCUAAGGAAGAGUUCUUGCCCCAACAAGUUUUUAAUUGUGGCAAGACUGGUCUGUAUUGGAAAAGAAUGACGAAGAGGACCUACAUCACACAAGAGGAACAAUCUUUGCCUGGCCACAAACCGAUGAAGGAUCGGGUUACCCUCGUGCUCUGCGCCAAUACAAGUGGCGAUUGCAAGGUCAAGCCGCUGCUCGUCUACCACUCAGAAAAUCCACGAGUGUUCAAGGCGUGUAAAGUGCACAAAACGCGACUGAAUGUGAUGUGGAGGUCCAAUAAGAAAUCCCGGGUCACGCUGAUAUUCUUCAGUGAAUGGGUCAAUGACGUUUUUGGCCCCUCGGUGAGGAAAUAUCUUGAAGAGAAGCAGUUACCACUCAAGGCCUUGCUUGUGCUCGAUAAUACUCCUGCACAUCCUCCACAGAUGCAAGGUUUGUUUCCAGAAAAUCAGUUCAUCACCAUAAAGUUUCUUCCUCCCAACACCACUCCACUCCUCCAACCCAUGGACCAGAAAGUCAUUGCCAACUUUAAGAAGCUCUACACGAAGGCUUUGUUGGAGAGGUGUGUGGAUGUAAUAGAGGCUACAGAGCUGACCCUCAAAGAAUUCUGGAAGGACCACUUCAAUAUCCUGGGUGGCUUACGUUUGAUCGAUAAGGCCUGGGAAGGAGUGACACAGAGGACUUUAAACUCUGCAUGGCGAAACCUGUGGCCUAUGGGUGUCCAUGAGCGAUAUCUUGAAGGUUUCGGUCAUGCACCUGCACCUGUGGACGACCCGGAAGUACAUCUAGUGGAUGAUAUUGUUGCUCUGGGGCAAACUUUGGGUCUGGAGUUGGAUGCUGCUGAUGUGCAGGAGUUAGUGGAGGAGCACAGUGAUGAACUGACCACUGAGGAACUCUUGGAACUUCUGGAGGAGCCGAGUCAAGAGGAGGUACAAGAGCUUUUAUCAGGGAAGGAGGAGGUAAGGGACGAUUCUGCCCCUUCCCGUGAGAUCAGGGAAGUGUUGGUAAUGUUUGAAAAGAUAACCGCAUUCUUGGAAAAGCAUCACCCUGAUAAAGCAGUGACAAUCCGGUCUGUGAACAUGUUUAAUGACAAUUUGCUGUUUCGUUUUAGGGACAUCCUAAAACGAAGACAAAAGCAAUUGUCAAUAGAUACGUUCUUUGGAAAGGUAAAGAAAAGUAGAGCAAGUGAUAGUGAACCACAACCCAGUCACAGUGGGGUGAAAUUUCCAAGGAGAGCGAGCCCGCCUGACUCAGAGGUGGACUCUCCUUCCACACCCUAAUCCCUCUCCUCCUUCCCACCUCCCCAUCGUCUCCCUCAAGCCAGCAACGACUCUUCAUAAGGUCAGUUUGGCGGAGUUAGAGCUGCUGCCUUUGCACGGCCUUUCCUUAGUGAGCUUGGCAUGAUUAGCACCCCUUCAGUCUGUGCUAUACCACAGGUCCAAGGGAAGUUUAGUGAUGAAGAGUGCACAGACGAGAGGAUAA